AGAUCAUCACUGGGCAUAAAGAGUGCGCAGGCGGUUUUGUAAGACAGAGGUGAAAUCCCCGGGCUCAACCUGGGAACUGCCCUUGUGACUGCAAGGCUGGAGUGCGGCAGAGGGGGAUGGAAUUCCGCGUGUAGCAGUGAAAUGCGUAGAUAUGCGGAGGAACACCGAUGGCGAAGGCAAUCCCCCUGGGCCUGCACUGACGCUCAUGCACGAAAGCGUGGGGAGCAAACA
rnacentral:rRNA from 1 species